GACGAACGCUGGCGGCGUGCUUAACACAUGCAAGUCGAACGGAAAGGCCCUGCUUUUGUGGGGUGCUCGAGUGGCGAACGGGUGAGUAACACGUGAGUAACCUGCCCUUGACUUUGGGAUAACUUCAGGAAACUGGGGCUAAUGCCGGAUAGGAGCUCCUGCUGCAUGGUGGGGGUUGGAAAGUUUCGGCGGUUGGGGAUGGACUCGCGGCUUAUCAGCUUGUUGGUGGGGUAGUGGCUUACCAAGGCUUUGACGGGUAGCCGGCCUGAGAGGGUGACCGGCCACAUUGGGACUGAGAUACGGCCCAGACUCCUACGGGAGGCAGCAGUGGGGAAUAUUGCACAAUGGGCGGAAGCCUGAUGCAGCAACGCCGCGUGCGGGAUGACGGCCUUCGGGUUGUAAACCGCUUUCGCCUGUGAUGAAGCGUGAGUGACGGUAAUGGGUAAAGAAGCACCGGCUAACUACGUG
rnacentral:rRNA from 1 species